GCUUAGAAGCAGCCACUCAUUAAAAGAGUGCGUAAUAGCUCACUGGUCGAGUGACCCUGCGCCGAAAAUUUAACGGGGCUAAAUCGUACACCGAAGCUUGGGAUGCAGUAAUGCAUGGUAGGAGAGCGUCGUAUAAGGGGUGAAGUCAGAGCGUAAGCGUUGGUGGACUUUAUACGAGUGAGAAUGCCGGAAUGAGUAGCGAGAAAUAUGUGAGAAUCAUAUUGGCCGAAAGUCUAAGGUUUUUGGAGGAAGGUUCGUCCGCUCCAAGUAAGCCGGGAGCUAAGGUGAGGCCGAAAGGCGUAGCUGAUGCACAUACGGUAGAUAUUCCGUAGCCGCCAAAAGAUUUAAGUAAGAGGACACCUUGAAAGGACUUGACCCGGGCGAUGGUUGCCCCGGGCGAAAGGGACCGAAAUUUAGUAGGGAAGCAAGUUUGGACGAGGGCGAGAAAAGUCUUAUGUAUAUCUUCGGCGCCCGUACCGCAAACCGACACAGGUAGAUAGGAAGAGAAUUCUAAGGCCAACGGGAGAAGGGUAGUUAAGGAACUCGGCAAAUUGACCCCGUAACUUAGGAAUAAGGGGUGCCACAGCGAUGUGGUCGCAGAGAAUAGGCCCAGGCAACUGUUUAUCAAAAACACAGGUCUCUGCCAAAUCGAAAGAUGAAGUAUAGGGGCUGACACCUGCCCGGUGCUGGAAGGUUAAGAGGAGAUGUGCAAGCAUUGAAUUGAAGCCCCAGUAAACGGCGGCCGUAACUAUAACGGUCCUAAGGUAGCGAAAUUCCUUGUCGGGUAAGUUCCGACCCGCACGAAUGGUGUAACGAUCUGGGCACUGUCUCAAUUACCCGCCCGGCGAAAUUGUAGUACCGGUGAAGAUGCCGGUUACCCGCGACAAGACGGAAAGACCCCAUGGAGCUUUACUGUAGCUUAAUAUUGGGUUUCGAUAAUUUAUGUAUAGGAUAGGCGGGAGACUAGGAAACCGUGGCGCCAGCCACGGCGGAGUCGACGUUGGAAUACCGCUCUUAAGUUAUUGGAAUUCUAACCUGCGGCCAUGAAUCUGGCCGGGGGACAUUGUUAGGUGGGCAGUUUGACUGGGGCGGUCGCCUCCAAAAAGGUAACGGAGGCGCUCAAAGGUUGGCUCAGCAUGGUUGGAAACCAUGCCUUAGAGUGUAAACGCGUAAGCCAGCCUAACUGCGAGGAUGACGGUCCGAGCAGUAACGAAAGUUGGAGUUAGUGAUCCGGCGGUAUGAGAGUGGAAUUGCCGUCGCUCAACGGAUAAAAGCUACCCUGGGGAUAACAGGCUGAUCUCCCCCA
rnacentral:rRNA from 1 species